GGGUCAGUAGGUUGGUCGUGCCACCGGUACGUACUGGUCUCACUGAUUCCUCCUUCCUGAAGAACCGUAAUGCCAUUAAUUUGGUGUUGCGGGGAAACAGGACUGUUACUUUGAAAAAAUUAGAGUGUUUAAAGCAAGCUAACGCUUGAAUACAUUAGCAUGGGAUAAUGAAAUAGGACGAUCGAUCCUAUUUUGCUGGUUUCUAGGAUUGACGUA
rnacentral:rRNA from 1 species